UACAGAGGUCUCAACCGUUGUUCGGAUUCAUUGGGCGUAAAGCGUGCGCAGGCGGUUCGCCAAGUCAGGUGUGAAAUCCCCGGGCUUAACCUGGGAAUUGCGCUUGAAACUAGCGGGCUUGAGUGUGGCAGAGGGGGGUGGAAUUCCACGUGUAGCAGUGAAAUGCGUAGAGAUGUGGAGGAACACCGAUGGCGAAGGCAGCCCCCUGGGUCAACACUGACGCUCAUGCACGAAAGCGUGGGGAGCAAACAGG
rnacentral:rRNA from 1 species